AACGAACGCUGGCGGCAUGCCUAACACAUGCAAGUCGAACGAGACCUUCGGGUCUAGUUGCGCACGGGUGCGUAACGCGUGGGAACCUGCCUUUAGGUUCGGAAUAACUCCCCGAAAGGGGUGCUAAUACCUGAUAAUUUCUCCGGACCAAAGAUUUAUCGCCUUUGGAGGGGCCCGCGUUGGAUUAGCUAGUUGGUAAGGUAAAAGCCUACCAAGGCGACGAUCCAUAACUGGUCUGAGAGGAUGAUCAGCCACACUGGGACUGAGACACGGCCCAGACUCCUACGGGAGGCAGCAGUGGGGAAUAUUGGAAAAUGGGCGAAAGCCUGAUCCAGCAAUGCCGCGUGAGUGAUGAAGGCCUUAGGGUUGUAAAGCUCUUUUACCCGGGAUGAUAAUGACAGUACCGGGAGAAUAAGCCCCGGCUAACUCCGUG
rnacentral:rRNA from 1 species